rnacentral:rRNA from 1 species
GUCUACAGCCAUGCAACCCUGAACGUGCUUGAUCCGGUCUGAUCUUGGAAGCUAAGCAGGGUCGGUCCUAGUUAAUACUUGGAUGGGAGACCACCUAGGAAGACCAGGUGCUGCAGGUG